rnacentral:lncRNA from 1 species
GCCACCCCGCGGAGGAGGCCCCAGUGCCACAGCCCAGGGCCCCCGAGAGCUCUGGGAGCCCGGGGCAAAUGCUAGAAAUUUGCUUAGAACGUCCGGGUCCCACGGAAGGCGCCCUUGCCGCCCUCUCUCGGGUCGUAGCUCCCUGACGCUGGGGCGCAACCCCUUCGCUCCUCCUCCCCGCUGGCCGCGGCCGGGCUUCCCCAGCUCUUGCUGCUUCGGGCCUGUGACUUCUGCAACCCCGGGCUGGGGGCCGCGGGGUCUCAGGGCCGGUGACGCCGCACUGGGAGCCGCCCCAAAGAGGUUACUCACCUCCCUCGUCCCGCACAUUAUUCUGACCCAAGAGCCUCCACCCCACACGGGAUUUUGCGCGUCGUCCACGCCCGGCCGGCGGCCUUUGCUGCUCCCAGCCCUGCGCGGCUUUGGUCCCAGCCUCGGUGGCCCCUGUGCCAAACCGGGGACAGGCGGAAGGGAGUCUCCUAGGGACCCUAAGUAGCCUGGGGCCAACAACCCCUUUCCUCUCUGCUCUCCCCUCAAAACAAGUUUCAGGAUCUUGCAGGCCUCGCGGCGUCGUUCUUCGUUGUGGCGGCCUGUGGCUCUUUGAAAAACACGACGAGGCCUGCAAAAUGCGUUUUUCUUUUUUUCCUUUACGCAUGUAACCACGGUCCUGCAUCGUGAAACGGUACGCGCGUCGGUGGCAAAAGAAAAACAGCAGUGGCUGCAAAGCUAAGGGCCCUCGCUUUCAGAGGAGAGAAUUUUCUUUCUCCAUGCGGGUGGAAAGUGGCCUCUGCGGGUCCAACCCCACUUCUUCUUGGGCCCGUGCGCUCCGGCUGCGCCGCAGGGACCGCGGACAGCUUCGCCAAGGCACUGCCUGCCCGCCCGGCUCCGGGUCCCCGCUCCCACUCCCAGCCGCGUGGCCCAACCUCUCCUGGGCUUCACUGCAAAUCACCCCUUCCUCUCCCGCCUCCUAAGUCUGUCGAGCAGACCUAGGGGCCGGCUACAGUUGGGAGGGCAACGGGAAAGAUCAAGCCACAAUCAUUCCGAAUUAUCGCCCCAGACACCUCCCUAGACUCUGGGGAACGAACGCGUGCUGAGCCUCCCCGCCGCUUUGGAGACGGGGCUAGAUUUUCGUUGCCUCCGGCUCUCGACAGGUGCAAAACAAUGAAUUCCAAGCCUCGGAAGCAAAGAAGCUUAGGAUCCGACGGUGGCCGCAAGAUCUCAUCAUGGAUCUGACCCCUGCUCAGCGCGCGCCAUUUCGUCGUUGCCAAACGAAAUCAAGCCCCGCGUGCGCUCCAGGGGCGAAGGACUCUGGACUCACCCCGACCACCGGGAGAGCUGGCCCCUACCCACCUCGGGACCUCACAGCACGCCCUCAGGCCGUGUCGAAAGGAAGGACGGCAAAGGUCCCUUACUGAACCUUUUAAGAGAGCCUGCGCCUGGCAGUUGUCGAUUGCGGACCCAGGCCCGCGCGCCCUCGGACGCGCUGGCACGAGCAGCAGAACUAGAGGAAAGCGAGUGAUCCAGCCUGGGCGCUCCCACCUCCGGGAACGUCUCCGAGAAGGCGCAGCGCGUCGUGGCCAGUGAGAAGGGCUGAAUAUCACCUGUGAGCCUGCCCCUGCUCCCAAGAACACCCUUUGGACACCUGUGGGCUCUGCAAGGUUGGUGUAACCCCUACAGAUGAGGAAACCAGAGACAGAGAAGUGAAGUAACUCAUGCAGGUGACGGCAGAGGGCAGAGUCAGGACUUGAACCUGGAGAGCCUGGCUCUAAAGCCCAAGCUGGAAUCUCGAUACUCUACACCUCGAUAAGUUUUUGGGAAAUGACUGACUAAACAGAUGAACGCGUUUGCCCCCCCGCCGCCCCAGAGCCCCCUUAAAGCCUACAUGUGGCAGUUUGGGCCCAUUUCCUUGGCUUCCCUCCCUGGAGGGGCACCCACUGCCAGUGUCCCUGGGGCGGUGAUUUCAGAAAACCUGCUGGCUCCAUCACACUUUGCUCAGGGACUGAGAUGGGAUGGCAUUUGGAAGACACAGCUGAAAUUUAGCAUCAUAUUCCAUGGCGAUUUUCCACCAGUGGAAAUCACAGGUGUUCUCUGGUAUCACAGCGGGGUCAGGGAUGACCUGAAAUAUUGUUCAUGCUCAUCACAACUGCAUGGCCCACCGCGGGGUCUUGUCACUCAGUGAGUUCUUGAAGAGGCACAGACAAAUGGAGUUCAACAAAUGGAAAACAACUGCCUUUAAUUAGCUCCGAGGACUACAAAGGGAACAACGUUAUAAUAGCAGCAACUCCAAGGAAGCAGCCACAGCUCUCAGCUCUCAGACCUGGGGCUGCCGCUCAUCAUCAGCUACAGCUAGGUUUGAUGGGAGUGCCCCCAUUUCAGGGGACAGCAGGCCCCCUUCACUCCCCGACUCAGUCCCCAUCUGCAGCAGCACAGCCUUCCUUGGCCUCACCAGGGAAGAAGAACAGGCCCCGCUCUCAGACAAGCCUUCCCAGAAGCCUGAGGACUCAAACACCCAAAUGUGUCUGGGUCCCUGCCCCGAGCCGGCCACCCAGGCAGCAGCCCUGAAUCACUCGGUCAGCCAGCGGCAGGGCAGGCCAAUGGGCUGGAGGGUAGGCAGGCAGGCAGACCCACCUCUGCAUCUCUGCUGACUGCCUCGGCUGAGGAAAGGCAGCACCAGCCCCCAACCCUGAAGUUCUAGAUCUCAUGCAGCCUCUCUGUUCUGGAACCAUCCAGAGGCACUGCCCUUAUACAUGGUCCACCCCCAGGCUCAGACAAUGAGAAUUCCACAAGCAGAGGGGACUCUAUUUGGGGCACAGAGAGGUUAAGUAACUCCCCUCCUAAGGUCUCUCAGCAAGGAAGCCACUGAGCCGUGGGACUUGAGCUCAGGGACUCUUGAUCCCCAGUCUCAGGUGUCACAGCCCCAUCUGGGCUCCUGCUAGGGAGGAGGAAGGCAGCAGGGGGUGUCUGAGGCCAGGGUGCAUCAGCCCUAAAUGCCAGACAGAGGCAGGAGAAGUCUCCCCAUGAGUCCCAGCCCCAUUAGAGGCUCCAGGUCGGGGAUCCCAGACCCCCUAUCCUUGCUGGGAGACACAACCCAGAACUCUGCAUCCCUGCAGCCACCAAAAAAGGCAAAAGCUGCCCAGAAACACUUUCUCCUCUUCCGUGGCCAAAUCCACGAACUUUCUCGAGGUCUGUCCCCCUGCCCCGUGCAGGUCCAGCUUCAGUGCAGCCCAGCUCUGUGCAGUUUUCCACAAAAGCCUGUGGCUUCCUUCUCCUCCCUCUGCUUCUGAUACCCCAGGAGUUACACACAAAAUGUUGGCGGUGGUCUCCAGGAAGACCCCUGCAUCCCACAGCUCUCCCCAGAAGUUGCCAGCAGUGACCUCCUGAGCCCAGGUGGGGAGUCCCAGGCAGGACAGGGGCUGGGGCUGCAGGCCCUGGGGCCCUGUUAGUGAAGCAGCAAGCCGAGGGUCCCUGAGAGUUUCCCUUGGCCCCUCUGAGGGCUGCCCUUUGAGGUCUUGAGGUCUUGGAGUAUCCAUCGCCCCCACGGCUUACUGUCCCCACCAGCGGAGGAUGAAAGUGCCACAGCGAUGUUCCACGCCAAGAGACCACAGAGACCACCAACCCCUCUUCCCACCUCAGGCUUUCAGAGGCCAGCGGAUUUAGGCGGACAGGCUGUGCGCUUGAGGGCAGCCAGGGCGGUCAGUGGAGGGACGUGGUCCGGGGCCUGGCCACAGCUCCCCACCCAGGGCCCUGGGCUAUUGUUACUCACCGCGGAUGAAGGUCGGCGAGUAGGUCGGGAAGGAGUCGAAGAUGCUGUUCGAUGCCAUGCCCCGCUCUGAAGAAG